GAUGAAGAACGCAGCGAAAUGCGAUAAGUAAUGUGAAUUGCAGAAUUCAGUGAAUCAUCGAAUCUUUGAACGCACAUUGCGCCCGCCAGUAUUCUGGCGGGCAUGCCUGUUCGAGCGUCAUUUCAACCAUCAAGCCCCAGGCUUGUGUUGGGGACCUGCGGCUGCCGCAGGCCCUGAAAACCAGUGUCGGGCUCGCUGUCACACCGGGCGUAGUAGAUUUUAUCUCGCUCAGGGCGUGCUGCGGGUUCCGGCCGUUAAAAAGCCUUUUUUACCCAAGGUUGACCUCGGAUCAGGUAGGAAGACCCGCUGAACUUAAGCAUAUCAAUAAGCGGAGGA
rnacentral:misc_RNA from 1 species